CAAAAUAUAAUCCCCAAACCCAUUAUAGUGAUAAGAGCUCCGACUCACAGACCCAUCAGAUAAAUGUACACCUUUAAACAAACCUCUACCAUACGAGUAUAGAGCUUUCACGUCACACCUAACAAAGAGCACCCCUUACCUAUCCAAAGGGAGUUUGAGUUUUCAUUCUCCAAUUUGUUAAAAUUAAUACCUCCAACUAUCACUUUGUGUACAAAGAUACAUCUUUAAAAGAGGCCAUUGCUCUGUUUAGCCCAUAGUGAUAAUGCAUUUUUAAAAAUGCUCUCCCUCAAGCCUUCCUACAAUUCCUGCAAGUCUAGAGGGACCAAAAAGUGGCUGCUAGUGUCAGCCAAUCCUGUCCUGUAACCUG